rnacentral:SRP_RNA from 1 species
GUGGGGCGCGGCGGCUUCGCCUGUGGUCCCAGCUGCUCCGGAGGCUGAGGCUGGGGCGUCGCUCGAGCCCGGGAGCUGUGCCCAUGGCGUGUCCUCACUAAGUUGGGCGUCUGUGUCGGGUGUCUUUUCGGGAGCGGGGGACCACCGGGAUGCCUAAGAAGGGGUGAACUGGCCUCGGUCGGAAACGAAGCAGGCAAAACUCCCGUGCUGAUUGAUCCGUGGUGGGAUCGCGCCGGUGAAUAGCCCCUGCACUCCACCUGGGCAACAUAAGGAGAUCCUGUCUCU